UUACGGCCAUAUCAUGUUGAAACAUUGGUUCCUGUACAAUCACUGAAGUUAAGCAAUAUCUAGCCUGGUCAGUACCUAGGUGGGUGACUGUUUGGGAAUACCAGGUGCUGUAA